AAAAGGAGGGAAGAGAGAUUCGAACCAACAACCUCAUGCACCUCAAACCGACAUACCAACCUGAAGGGUUUUAGCAUGUUAUAAUGCGCAGCGGAAGCUAGGGAUUUUAAAAAUUUCUUAAUAAAGUCCCUAUGCAUGAAACCCUUUUAAGCCUAGAUCACCUUAAUGAUUACAAUCAAAUGAUAUAAAAUAAAUACAGAAUUAGUAGAAUACCUCAAACGCUAAUCCAAAGUGUACAAUCUCCACGAGGCGUCCAAGUGUCCGCCC
rnacentral:lncRNA from 1 species